rnacentral:rRNA from 1 species
UUAAGUGAAUAAGGGCGUACGGUGGAUGCCUAGGCACUUGGAACUGAAGAAGGACGCAACAAACGGCGAAACGCGACGGGGAGUGGUACGUACACAAAGAUCCGUCGAUAUCCGAAUGGGGAAACCCGGCAGCAGUAAUGAGCUGUCACCCAUGAGUGAAUACAUAGCUCAUGAGGGAGGUACCCGGAGAACUGAAACAUCUAAGUAUCCGGAGGAAAAGAAAAUAAGAAUGAUUCCGUAAGUAGCGGCGAGCGAACGCGGAGGAGCCCAAACCAGAUCUUGAUCUGGGGUUGUAGGACCACGAAAUGGCAAGAGCAUGGCUAAGAGAACGGCAUUGAAAGGCCGACCGGAGAGGGUGCAAGUCCCGUAACUGAAAGCAAUGUGAAGCCUAGUGGUAUCCUGAGUACGGCGAGACACGAGAAAUCUUGUCGGAAGCAGGCGGGACCAUCCGUCAAGGCUAAAUAUACCCAAGUGACCGAUAGUGAACCAGUACCGUGAGGGAAAGGUGAAAAGAACCGCGGGAGCGGAGUGAAAUAGAACCUGAAACCGUAUGCUUACAAGAAGUCAGAGCCCGUUAAAGGGUGAUGGCGUGCCUUUUGUAGAAUGAACCGGCGAGUUACGUUAUCGUGCGAGGUUAAGUAGAAGAUACGGAGCCGAAGCGAAAGCGAGUCUUAAUAGGGCGACAGUACGAUGAUGUAGACCCGAAACCGUGUGAUCUAGCCAUGACCAGGUUGAAGUUCAGGUGAAACUGAAUGGAGGACCGAACCGACCCCCGUUGAAAAGUUGGCGGAUGAGUUGUGGCUAGGGGAGAAAUUCCAAUCGAACACGGAUAUAGCUGGUUCUCCCCGAAAUAGCUUUAGGGCUAGCGUCGAGGUAGAGUCGCAUGGAGGUAGAGCACUGAAUGUACGAUGGCCCCAUCCCGGGGUACUGAGUAUAAUCAAACUCCGAAUGCCAUGCAGACAUACUCGGCAGUCAGACUGUGGGUGAUAAGGUCCAUGGUCAAAAGGGAAACAGCCCAGACCGCCAGUUAAGGUCCCAAAAUGUAUGCUAAGUGGAAAAGGAUGUGGGGAUGCACAGACAACUAGGAGGUUGGCUCAGAAGCAGCCAUCCUUCAAAGAGUGCGUAACAGCUCACUAGUCGAGUGACCCUGCGCCGAAAAUGUACCGGGGCUAAGCAUACUACCGAAGCUGCGGAUUCAACUUCAGAGUUGAGUGGUAGGGGAGCGUUGCAUGCACGUAGAAGCCGUACCGUAAGGAGCGGUGGAGAGCAUGGAAGAGAGAAUGCCGGUGUGAGUAGCGAGAUGUAGGUGAGAAUCCUACACACCGAUAGCCCAAGGAUUCCAGGGGAAGGUUCGUCCGCCCUGGGUAAGUCGGGACCUAACGCGAGGCCGAAAGGCGUAGUGGAUGGAAAACAGGCAGAUAUUCCUGUACCCGCGAUGGAAAUGAAGGAAUGACGGAGAAGGCUAGUGUGAGCCACUGAACGGAUUGUGGUCGAAGCAUAUAGCAGGCUGACAGUGAAAUGCGUCAGCGGGAUGUAAGAUGUGACAGGUAAGGGAACGUCCUCGGACAAGUACUGAAGCACAUGAUGCCAGCUUCCAAGAAAAGUUUCUAGUGAUAAUUCCAUAGCGGCCCGUACCAAAACCGACACAGGUGGGCAAGGAGAGAAUCCUGAGGUGAGCGAGAGAACUGUUGCCAAGGAACUCGGCAAAAUGACUCCGUAAGUUAGCGAUAAGGAGUGCUCUUGUAAAAGAGAGCCGCAGUGAAGAGGCCCAAGCGACUGUUUAACUAAAACACAGCUCUCUGCAAAGUCGCAAGACGAAGUAUAGGGGGUGACGCCUGCCCGGUGCUGGAAGGUUAAGAGGAUUUGUCAUCCGCAAGGAGAAGCAAUGAAUUGAAGCCCCAGUGAACGGCGGCCGUAACUAUAACGGUCCUAAGGUAGCGAAAUUCCUUGUCAGGUAAG